UGAGAACGUAUCGGCAGGGUCU
rnacentral:miRNA from 1 species